CAAAUACUCCAUCCGUCCGGAAAUACUUGUCACCAAAAUUGAUAAAAGGAAAUGUAUCUAGACGUAUUUUAGUUUUAGAUACAUCUCUUUUUAUCCAUUUUGAUGACAAUUAUUUCGGAUGGAGGAGUAUUUG
rfam:Triticum aestivum genome assembly, contig: Triticum_aestivum_CS42_TGACv1_scaffold_031063_1BL